UGAAUGACUGACUGUACGUCACUCUGGAUGAGAGUGUCUGCUAAAUGACAAAUU
rfam:Salmo salar isolate Sally breed double haploid chromosome ssa06, whole genome shotgun sequence.